AUUGAACGCUGGCGGAAUGCUUUACACAUGCAAGUCGAACGGCAGCACGGGGGCAGCCCUGGUGGCGAGUGGCGCACGGGUGAGUAAUACAUCGGAACGUAUCCUAGAGUGGGGGAUAGCCCGGCGAAAGCCGGAUUAAUACCGCAUACGCUCGAAAGAGGAAAGUGGGGGAGUCGUAAGACCUCACGCCCAAGGAGCGGCCGAUGCCGGAUUAGCUUGUUGGUGAGGUAAAAGCUCACCAAGGCGACGAUCCGUAGCUGGUCUGAGAGGACGACCAGCCACACUGGGACUGAGACACGGCCCAGACUCCUACGGGAGGCAGCAGUGGGGAAGUUUUGGACAAUGGGGGAAACCCGUGAUCCAGCCAUUCCGCGUGAGUGAAGAAGGCCUUCGGUUGUAAG
rnacentral:rRNA from 1 species